rnacentral:rRNA from 1 species
AUUUGACCUCAAAUCAGGUAGGAACACCCGCUGAACUUAAGCAUAUCAAUAAGCGGAGGAAAAGAAAAUAACAAUGAUUCCCCUAGUAACUGCGAGUGAAGAGGGACAAGCUCAAAUUUUAAAUCUAUCGGGUUUUACCUGAUCGAGUUGUGAUUUGAAGAAGCGUUUUCUGCGUAUUUGGUCAGCCUAAGUCCUAUUGAAUGAGGCAUCAUGGAGGGUGAUAAUCCCGUCCGGUUGAUCAUUUGCGUUUUACGAUACGCUUUCUAAGAGUCAAGUUGUUUGGGAUUGCAGCUUAAAAUGGGAGGUAAAUUUCUCCUAAGGCUAAAUAACGGCGAGAGACCGAUAGCGAACAAGUACCGUGAGGGAAAGAUGAAAAGAACUUUGAAAAGAGAGUUAAACAGUACGUGAAAUUGUUGAAAGGGAAASGAUUGAAGCCAGUCGUACCUUCGGGUAAUCAGCCUUUCGGGUGCGAUUCUGUGGAGUGUGAGGAGCUUAAACACCUUCAUGUUUUGCAUAUUCGUACUMUUGGGUGUACUUGCCCGUGUGGUUGGUUAACAUCAAUUUUGGUGGUCAUAAAAUGACUGGGGGAAUGUAGCUUCGAUCUUGUAUUGAAGUGUUAUAGCCUUCGGUAGAUGUGAUGAUCGAGAUUGAGGAUUGCAACGGAUACCCUUCGGGGCUACCUGUCUGGUCUCUGAUCGUUGCUCUGGUGCCGAAAGCUUGCUUACGGUUAUCAAAGUCGAUGGUCAAUAGGUUAGGACGGGUUAAAUUCGUUAAGGAUGUUGACGUAAUGGCUUUAAACGACCCGUCUUGAAACACGGACCA